CCUGCUGGUGGUAGCCUAGGAGGCUGCCCUUCACCCUAGCAAGACCACAGGAACAUGUUGUCGACCACCAUGGUGGGCACACUGGUCAGAGGGUGGAGGAAUCGGAGCUCCCCUAGAAGAACAGAAUUGAAACCACCCACCCCACAGAGACAAGGUGGAAUUCGGAUUCAGGCUCUGCUCUAUACCUGUUUGGGUUUGGAGUCUAUCUGAGGCAUAACUCACUACUCACCCAUUCGGAGUCACUAGCUCUGGUUUCCCUAUGCAGCCUUAGCUGUCCUGGAACUCACUAUGUAGACCAACCUGGACUCAGACUCACCAAGAUCUGCCUGCUGAGGUUAAGUGCUUGUACCUCUAUGCCUGACUAGAUAAAUAAAUUUUAAAGUUUCUCUUAGAUGCCAGGAAAGAUAUUUUAAAUAAAUGUGAAUGUGCUCUUU
rnacentral:lncRNA from 1 species